rnacentral:rRNA from 1 species
GAUACGUCAGGUGCCCUUCGGGGAAAGUCGAGACAGGUGGUGCAUGGUUGUCGUCAGCUCGUGUCGUGAGAUGUUGGGUUAAGUCCUGCAACGAGCGCAACCCCUGCCAUUAGUUGCUACGCAAGAGCACUCUAAUGGGACCGCUACCGACAAGGUGGAGGAAGGUGGGGACGACGUCAAAUCAUCAUGCCGUCGACGCGGCCAGUCGUGGGAG